UGUCUGUUCGAUUUAGCAUUU
ensembl:piRNA 21ur-6636 ncRNA